AACGAACGCUGGCGGCAUGCCUAACACAUGCAAGUCGAACGAGACCUUCGGGUCUAGUGGCGCACGGGUGCGUAACGCGUGGGAACCUGCCCUUAGGUUCGGAAUAACUCACCGAAAGGGGUGCUAAUACCGGAUAAUGUCUUCGGACCAAAGAUUUAUCGCCUUUGGAUGGGCCCGCGUUGGAUUAGCUAGUUGGUGGGGUAAAAGCCUACCAAGGCGACGAUCCAUAGCUGGUCUGAGAGGAUGAUCAGCCACACUGGGACUGAGACACGGCCCAGACUCGUACGGGAGGCAGCAGUAGGGAAUAUUGGACAAUGGGCGAAAGCCUGAUACAGCAAUGCCGCGUGAGUGAUGAAGGCCUUAGGGUUGUAAAGCUCUUUUACCCGAGAUGAUAAUGACAGUACCGGGAGAAUAAGCUCCGGCUAACUCCGUG
rnacentral:rRNA from 1 species